rnacentral:rRNA from 1 species
AUUGAACGCUGGCGGCAGGCCUAACACAUGCAAGUCGAACGGCAGCACAGAAGAGCUUGCUCUUUGGGUGGCGAGUGGCGGACGGGUGAGUAAUGUCUGGGAAGCUGCCCGAUGGAGGGGGAUAACUACUGGAAACGGUAGCUAAUACCGCAUAACGUCGCAAGACCAAAGUGGGGGACCUUCGGGCCUCACUCCAUCGGAUGUGCCCAGAUGGGAUUAGCUAGUAGGUGGGGUAAUGGCUCACCUAGGCGACGAUCCCUAGCUGGUCUGAGAGGAAGGCCGGCCACAAUGGAACUGCGACACGGUCCAGACUCCUACGGGAGGCAGCGGUGGGGAAUAUUGCACAAUGGGCGCAAGCCUGAUGCAGCCAUGCCGCGUGUAUGAAGAAGGCCUUCGGGUUGUAAAGUACUUUCAGCGGGGAGGAAGGCGGUGAGGUUAAUAACCUCGCCGAUUGACGUUACCCGCAGAAGAAGCACCGGCUAACUCCGUGCCAGCCGCCGCCGUAA